CCUACGGGUGGCAGCAGUGAGGAAUAUUGGUCAAUGGACGAGCGUCUGAACCAGCCAAGUAGCGUGAAGGAUGACUGCCCUAUGGGUUGUAAACUUCUUUUAUAUGGGAAUAAAAUGUUCCACGUGUGGGAUUUUGUAUGUACCAUAUGAAUAAGGAUCGGCUAACUCCGUGCCAGCAGCCGCGGUAAUACGGAGGAUCCGAGCGUUCUCCGGAUUUAUUGGGGUUAAAGGGAGCGUAGGUGGAUUGUUAAGUCAGUUGUGAAAGUUUGCGGCUCAACCGUAAAAUUGCAGUUGAAACUGGCAGUCUUGAGUACAGUAGAGGUGGGCGGAAUUCGUGGUGUAGCGGUGAAAUGCUUAGAUAUCACGAAGAACUCCGAUUGCGAAGGCAGUUCACUGGACUGCAACUGACACUGAGGCUCGAAAGUGUGGGUAUCAAACAGGAUUAGAUACCCUAGUAGUC
rnacentral:rRNA from 1 species